AUGAAGCUGGAAUUGCUAGUAAUGGCAGGUCAGCAUACUGCCGUGAAUACGUUCCCGGGCCUUGUACACACCGCCCGUCACACCAUGGGAGUUGGAAAUACCCGAAGCCUGUGAGCUAACAGUAAUGAGGCAGCAGUCGAAGGUAGAGCCAAUGAUUGGGGUGAAGUCGUAACAAGGUAAC
rnacentral:rRNA from 1 species